AGAGUUUGAUCCUGGCUCAGGAUGAACGCUGGCGGUAUGCUUUACACAUGCAAGUCAUACGGAAGUUAGUUUCGGCUAACUUCAGUGGCGGACGGGUGAGUAACACGUGAGAAUUCGCCUUUAGGAGGGGGAUAACAGGGGGAAACACCUGCUAAAACCCCAUAUGCCUUCGGGUCAAAAGAGAAAUCUGCCUAAAGAGAAGCUCGCGGCUGAUUAGCUAGUUGGUGGGGUAAAGGCCUACCAAGGCGACGAUCAGUAGCUGGUCUGAGAGGACGAUCAGCCACACUGGAACUGAGACACGGUCCAGACUCCUACGGGAGGCAGCAGUGAGGAAUUUUCUGCAAUGGGCGAAAGCCUGACAGAGCAAUACCGCGUGAGGGAAGAAGGCUUACUGAGUUGUAAACCUCUGUUACCUAAGGAGGAAGAUCUGACGUUACUUAGGAGACGAAGCAUCGGCUAACUCCGUGCCAGCAGCCGCGGUAAGACGGAGGAUGCAAGUGUUAUCCGGAAUCACUGGGCGUAAAGCGUCUGCAGGUGGUUUCUUAAGUCCACUGUUAAACCUUGAGGCUCAAUCUCAAUUCAGCAUUGGAAACUGGGAAACUUGAGUAUAGUAGGGGUAGAGGGAAUUUCCAGUGGAGCGGUGAAAUGCGUAGAUAUUGGAAAGAACACCGAUGGCGAAGGCACUCUACUGGGCUAUUACUGACACUCAGAGACGAAAGCUAGGGGAGCAAAUGGGAUUAGAUACCCCAGUAGUCCUAGCCGUAAACGAUGGAUACUCGAUGUUGGGCGUAUCGACCCGU
rnacentral:rRNA from 1 species